rnacentral:lncRNA from 1 species
UCAAUGAAACCACAAGUUGGUUCUUUGCAGAGAUCAACAAAAUUGAUAAACCCUUACCCAGACUGACCAAGAAGAAAGGAAAAAAAAACUUAAAUUACUAAAAUUAGAAAUGAAAAAGAGGAUAUCACUACCAACCUUGCAGUAAUGAAAAGGAUUAUCACGGGGGUAUUACAAACAACUGUGUGCUACCAAGUUAAAUAACCUAGAUGAAAUGGGCAAAUUCCUGGAGGACACAAAUGACCAAAAGUGACUUAAGAAAUUGAAACCUUGGAUAGACCUAUAACAAAAAGAUUGAAUUACUAAUUUAAAAAUUUUCCCACAGAAAUCCAGGCCAAGAAGGCUUCACAGGUAAAUUCUAAUGACAUUUAAAGGAAAAAAAAAAAAGUGAUACCAGCCCUUUACAGACUCUUCAAACAUAAAACAAGAGGGAACACUCCCAAUUCAUUGCAAGAGGCUAGUUUACCUUGAUCCCAAACCAAAAACAUCAAAAGGAAACUAUGGAUCAACAUCACUUAAAUAGUCAUAAAAAUCCUCAACAGAAUACUAGCGAAUUUAAUCUAGCAGCAUAGAAAGAUUAUAUGUCAUGACCAAGAGGAAUUGAAAGGGAAGCAAAGUUGUGAAAUCUGAAAAUCAGUCAGUGUGAUAUAUACCAUAUUAAUAAAGAAGAAAACCUGAUCAUCUCAGCAGAUGCGGAAACAGCAUUUGGCAAAAUUCAGUUUUUCAUGACUAAAGCAACCAACAAUACUGGAAAUACAGGAGGCCUCCCUCAACCCUAUGAAAGGCAUUUAGGAAAACCCCACAGCUAAUAUCAUAACUGAAUGUGAGCGAAUGAAUGCUUUCCCAAGAUCAAGAACAAGACAAAGGCGUCUACUCUUGUCACUUCUUCAGCAUUGUACUGGAAGGCCCAGCAGUGGCAGUUAGGCAAGAAAAAUAAAUGAAAGGCAUCCGACAUCCAUAUCAAAAAGGAAAAUCAAAACUCUCUCUAAUUGCAAGACAUGGUCUUGCAUACAGAAAUUUAAGGCAUCUACAAAAAGAUACUAGAACUUACAGAAGUUCAGCAAUUUUCAGCCUACAAAAUCAGUAGUAUGCAAAAGUCAAUUAUGUUUCCAUACACUAGCAAUGAACACUCUGAAAGAAAAUUAAGACUAUUUCAUUUAUUAUAGCAUCAAAAGAAAUAAAACACUUAAGUAUAAACUUAACCAAAGAGGUACAAAACUUACAUAAUGAAAACCAUAAAACUGAUGAAAGAAACUAAAGACCUCAAUAAAUAGACCUUGUUAUGUUCAUGUUGGAAGACAAUAUUGGAAAGGUGGCAACACUCUGCAAAGUGAGCUACAAAUUCAAUGCAAUACCAAUCGAAAUCCCAGGAGUCUUUGUUUUUCAGAAAUGGAAAAGCUUAUCCUACUCUUCAUAUGGAAUUGCAGAAGAACCCCCCCCAAAAAAUAGUUUUGAAAAAGAAGAGCAAAGUUAUAGAACUCAUAUUUCCCAAUUUCAAAACUUACUACAAAGCUACAGUAAUCAAAACAGUAUAGAAUGGGAUAAAGAUAGAUAUAUAGAUCAAUAAAAAGUCUAGAAAUAAACCCAUACAUUUAUGGCCAGUUGAUUUUGGCAAAAGUAUUCAAAAACAACCAGUGGAGAAAGAGUAGUUUUUUUCAAAAAAUAGUACCGGGACAACUGGCGUGCAAAAAAACUCAGAUCCCUCCUUUACACCAUGUACAAAAAUGACCUCAAAGUGUAUCAGCUCAUUUGGAUUUAGGUCACAGACCUAAAUGUAAAAAGCUAAACGUUUUUGUUUUUUUUUUUUUUUUUUUUUUUUUUUUUUUUUUGCGUUUUAGGGCUGCACCUGCGGCAUAUGGAGGUUCCCAGGCUAAGGGUCUAAUCAGAGCUGUUGAUGAUCGACACCACAGCCACAGCAAUGCUGGAUCCAAGCCUCGUCUGUGACCUACACCACAGCUCAUGGCAAUGCCAGAUCCUUAAUGCACUGAACAAGGCCAGGGAUCAAACCUGCAACCUCAUAGUUCCUAGUCGGAUUUGUUUCUGCUGCACCACGACAGGAACUCCAAAAAGCUAAAACUUUAAAAACUCUUAGGAGACAUGGGAGUAUAAUUGUGUGACCACAUGUUAGAAAAUGUUUCUCAUAUAUGUCAUCAAGCAUAAAUGAUGAGAAAACAAAAUAAUAGAUAAACUGGAUUUCAUCAGAAUUUUAGAUGUUCUUCAAAGUACACAAUCCAGAAAGUUAAAAGACAGGAGUUCCCUGGUGGCUCAGUGGGUUAGGGAUCUAGCAUUGUCACAGCUGUGGCUCUGGUUGCCACUGUGGUAUGAGUCCAUUGGCUCAGGAACUUCCACAUGCCAUGGGUGCAGACAAAAAGAAAAAAAAAAGACAAACCAUAGAAUGGGAGAAAAUAUAUUCAAGCCAUAUAUUUAAUAAGAAACAUCCAGAAUACACAAAAAACUCUUACAAGUCAAUGAUAAAAUGACAACCCAGUUUAAAAGCAUUCAGAGACAUUUUUUUCAAAGAAUUUCACCAAAUCGCCAGUAAGCACAUGAAAAGUGUACAACAUCAUGAGUCAUCAAGGAAAUACGAACCAAAAUCCUAUUACUAUACUACUCAUACCCGCUCGGGUGGCUGAAAUCAGAAGUCAGACAAUAGCAAAAGAUGGUGAGAAUGAAGAGAAACUGGAAAGCCUCAACCACUGCUGAUGGGAUUGUAAAAUGUAUGGCCCUCUGGAAAACACUUUGACAGUUGCUUAAAAUAUUAAACAUAGAGUUACAUAUGACCCUGAAAGUCCACUCCUACGUAGCUCCACUUAGGAGAAAUAAAAACAUGUCCACACAGAAAUGGCACAUGAAUGUCCAUAGCAGCAUUAUUCAUAAAUCCAAAAAAAAAUUAGAAUCUCAGUAUCUAUCAAUGAGCAGAUAAACACAAAGUGAUAUACCCGAACAAUGCAAUAUUAUUUGGCAAUAAAAAUAAGGAAGUACUGGAGUUCCCGUCAUGGUGCAGCGGAGAGGAAUCCAACUAGGAACCAUGAGAUUUCGGGUUCGAUCCCUGGCCUCGCUCAGUGGGUUAAGGAUCUGGUGUUGCCAUGAGCUGUGCUAUAGGUCGCAGAUGUGGCUCAGAUCCUGUGUUGCUGUGGCUGUUGCAUAGGCCGGCAUCUGUAGCUCCGAUUCAGCCCCUUGCCUGGGAACCUCCAUAUGCUGCGGGUGCGGCCCUAAAAAG